UUUCCAUCUGUUAGGAUUUCCCAUCAGCUUUAAGAUCUUUCUUUAAUAUUUUUUUUGUACAGGUCUGAUGAUGACAACUGCCUUUAAGUUUUGUUUAUCUAAUAUUGGAGUGAACGAAGCCCUCCCCAAACCCCCAACUUAGUCUGUUAGGUGACAACAUGGCAAAGAGCUCUCAUCUGUUAGCUGACAACUGUGACUGAUCAAUAAUGACCAACCAUCAGGAGAAGUGUGUGGAGAAGGAUGUAGAGGCUGUCUCCAGGAUCAUCGGGGAAGAUCAUUUGAAAAAAGGGAAGUGUGAGAAAGCCUGGUGGCACAAAGAUCUGACAGAAAUCAAGUCAGUAGCCCAAGCAAGAGACCGAGACAUUGACAGUGCAGAGACACCAUCAAGUUCAAGAGAUGUUUUAGAGACAAGUCAAAUUUGGGGUGAGGUGAGGUAAUGGGACAAUUCAGAGUGAUUCAAGUUUUCUAAAUGAUGGCAGUGGAGGCCCUAUGGAACUGCCACUGCCAUCAAACCAGCUGCAGCAGGGAGGCGUGGCCUGG
ensembl:lincRNA